AUGUUAUGGAAAACAAGGUGUCUAUUGUUAUCUUUGAGUAUAUAUAUAUAUACACACACACAUAUAUAUGCACGUAUACAUAUAUACAUAUAUACAUAUACAUAUAUGCAUAUACAUACAUAUAUAUAUAAGCAAGACAUAUUUAUCUCCUUUUUUUUUUUUAAUGAUAAUUAUGUUAUGGUUUUGAAUUUUAGAGAGAAGUGCUUGUUGAAGAGCACAUUGUUGUCUUCCCCAGCUGUAACCAGGAUACAAUUUCCUCUCCAGAAACUCACCCACAGCCAGGAUCAACAAGAAGAUAUGUAAAGGUUUCCAAGCAGAGUGACUCAUGAGAGCAGCACUCCAAUUCCUGUUUCGUGAGCUGACUCUGUAGAUGUGAACAGAGCUGCUGGGAACACAGGACCUGCUGCAAACAUAUUCCUACUUAUUAACCAGCAGCUUUAACUUUGCAGUGCUUCAGAUUUAUUCAUAUUUUCAGGCUGGUAUUUUUUUUUUCUAUGCUUCUGGUUGUGAUAAAUUUUAUUGACAGUGAGCAGGAAUUUAUUAUUGUUUGCUGAUGUCUGGGCAGAGCGUUCAGCAAGGGUAAGGCUGAGACAUGGAAAUUAGACUGGGCAAGGACUUCUGAUCUACAGGUGCCUCUAUCUGCUGCUGCACUCCAUGUAAUCACUUCUGAAAGCCUGGAUAAUUCUGUCUUGGGACAAGUGAGGUUUCCUGACUCCAUUCCUGCAGUGAGGAGGCACCACAACCUCAGUUCUCUGUUGAUUGAAGACUGUCUUCUACUUUGCAUUGCAAAUAUCUGUAUGACUAAUUCAAACCCACUGCCUU
rnacentral:lncRNA from 12 species